rnacentral:rRNA from 1 species
GAUCAUGGCUCAGGAUGAACGCUAGCGACAGGCCUAACACAUGCAAGUCGAGGGGCAGCGGAGAGGUAGCAAUACCUUUGCCGGCGACCGGCGCACGGGUGAGUAACACGUAUGCAAUCCACCUGUAACAGGGGGAUAACCCGGAGAAAUCCGGACUAAUACCCCAUAAUAUGGGCGCUCCGCAUGGGAGCNCUAAUAAGAG